CCCGGUUGAUCCUGCCAGUAGUCAUAUGCUUGUCUCAAAGAUUAAGCCAUGCAUGUGUAAGUAUGAACUAUUUCAGACUGUGAAACUGCGAAUGGCUCAUUAAAUCAGAUAUAGUUUGUUUGAUGGUACGUGCUACCGGAUAACCGUAGUAAUUCUAGAGCUAAUACGCAACAAACCCCUCGACUUCCUAAGGGAUGCAUUUAUUAGAUAAAGGUCGACGUGGGCUUUUGCCCGCUGUCCGAUGAUUCAUGAUAACUUCGACGGAUUGCACGGCCCUCGUGUCAUGAUGCAUCAUUCAAAUUUCUGCCCUAUCAACUUUUCGAUGGUAGGAUAGGGGCCUACCAUGGUGGUGGACGGUGACGGAGAAUUAGGGUUCGAUUCUAGGAGGGAGCUCCCGAGAAACAGCUACCACAUCCAAGGAAGGCAGCGCCAAGAAAUUACCCAAUCCCACACGGGAGGUAGUGACAAUAAAUAACAAUACCGGCUCUUCGAAGUCUGGUAAUUGGAAUGAGUACACCUAAAUCCCUUAACGAGGAUCCAUUGAGGGCAAGUCCGUGUGCCGAACCAAGGUAAUUCCAGCUCCAAUAGCGUAUAUUUAAGUUGUUGCAGUUAAAAAAGCUCAGAGGUUGGACUUUUGGGACGGGUUGGUCCAUCAUGGUGUGCAACCGUUGUCCCAUCCCUUCCUUCUCGGCGAUGAUGCGUAUGGUUUUAAUCGUCGGGUCGCCUCCCCGUUACUUUGAAGAAAUUAGAGUGCUCAAAGCAAGCCCACGCCUGGAUACAUUAGCAUGGGAUAACAUCACAGGAUUUCGGUCCUAUUGUGUGGCCUUCGGAUCGAGUAAUGAUUAAGAGGGGACAGUUGGGCAUUCGAUUUCAUAGUCGAGGUGAAAUUCUUGGAUUUAUGAAAGACGAACCACCACUGCGAAAAGCAUUUGCCAAGAUGUUUUCAUUAAUCAAGAACCAAAAGUUGGGGGCUCAAGAAGACGAUCGAUACCGCCCCUAGUCUCAACCAUAAACGAUGCCGACCAGGGGAUCGGGCGGAUGUUGUUUUAGGACUCACGGCACCUUAUGAGAAAUCAAAGUCUUUGGGUUCCCGGGAGUAUGGUCAAUGAAGGUUGAAACUUAAAGGAAUUGACGGAAGGGCACCACUUUCAGAGUGGAGCCCGCGCUUAAUUUGACUCAACAUCGGGAAACUUACCAGGUCCGGACAUAGCAAGGAUUGAUUGAGAGCUCUUUCUUGAUUCUAUGGGUGGUGGUGCAUGGUCGUUCUUAGUUGGUGGGCAAUAAUGUAAAUAGCAAUAAUGAAAUGCAAACCAAGGAUCACGCCCCAUUUUAGAGUGGUUCGUCAAAUGACCCACCUAACUUCAGAGGCCCUCUUCGGGAUGAGGCUCCACCUUCCACUAUAAAAGUCUUGAAAAUGGAAGGGUAACACCCCUCUUAAUAACUCUUUAAGCGGUUCACUCUCUACAGAUUUUUUGGAGAAGAGAUGAGGUGAACACUAGCAACUGAAAGAAUAUCGCUUAAUCGCUUAAGACCUUUUUUCAAACUGUUGCUGCUCUCAAAAGUUG
rnacentral:rRNA from 1 species